rnacentral:rRNA from 1 species
UACAGAGGGUGCAAGCGUUAAUCGGAAUUACUGGGCGUAAAGCGUGCGUAGACGGUUGCAUAAGACAGAUGUGAAAGCCCCGGGCUCAACCUGGGAAUUGCAUUUGAGACUGUGUAGCUAGGGUGCGGAAGAGGGAAGCGGAAUUUCCGGUGUAGCGGUGAAAUGCGUAGAUAUCGGAAGGAACACCAGUGGCGAAAGCGGCUUCCUGGUCCAGCACCGACGUUCAGGCACGAAAGCGUGGGGAGCAAACAGG